UACGUAGGGUGCAAGCGUUGUCCGGAAUUAUUGGGCGUAAAGAGCUCGUAGGUGGCCUGUCGCGUCGGCUGUGAAAACUCGGGGCUCAACGUCCGAGCUUGCAGUCGAUACGGGCAGGCUAGAGUUCGGCAGGGGAGACUGGAAUUCCUGGUGUAGCGGUGAAAUGCGCAGAUAUCAGGAGGAACACCGAUGGCGAAGGCAGGUCUCUGGGCUGACACUGACGCUCAUGCACGAAAGCGUGGGGAGCGAAACAAGGAUUGAGAAACCCCGGUAA
rnacentral:rRNA from 1 species